AAAAUUUUAAGUUAAAUAAACUAUUAACCUUCAAAGUUAAAAAUAUAAAUAAUUAUUUAUAAAUUUUA
rnacentral:tRNA from 1 species